UACGGAGGGUGCAAGCGUUAUCCGGAUUCACUGGGUUUAAAGGGUGCGUAGGCGGAUAUGUAAGUCCGUGGUGAAAUCUCUGGGCUUAACCCGGAAACUGCCAUGGAUACUAUGUGUCUUGAAUGUUGUUGAGGUGAGCGGAAUAUGUCAUGUAGCGGUGAAAUGCUUAGAUAUGACAUAGAACACCAAUUGCGAAGGCAGCUCACUAAGCAAAUAUUGACGCUGAGGCACGAAAGCGUGGGGAUCAAAACGG
rnacentral:rRNA from 1 species